rnacentral:lncRNA from 1 species
UUACCUUAUCGUUUUAUUAGGUUGUGCUGGUUCCAAAAUUAUAGAAAUAAAUGCAUCAUUUGUGCUUCAUCUAUUUCAUUUUACUUUUAACCCCUAUACCAAAAAAAGAUAGACAUAUCAUUCAGUACUUUGCAGCUCAACCACUCUAAAUUCUUGCAAGAAUAUAUUCCUUUGCUAAAUAAUAUGUGUCAAAACGUUUACACUUGACGACACCAUUAAAGUUGCGGAUCAAAAAACGACAUAAUACAAAAGGUUUUAGUAAAACAUGAAGGUACAUAAGCAUGUUCUCUAGAAUUUGCAGAUUCAUUCACAAUAAGGCUAAGCAUUUCAGUAAAAUUUCUUCUCUUUCAAGCAUUCAGCAGUUUCCUUGACGCUUUCAGCCAGGGGAAUGAAUUCAAUACCCAAUUUUUUGGUUCUUUCGACGUUAACCUGGUACAUUGGCGUAAAUGGCUUAUCAUCAGCACACCUGGAGAGUCUAACCAAAAACUUUGAGCCAAGAAAAGAAUUUCAAGUAAACCAUAUGAAAUCAGCUACUAGUCACUCAACUUUAUGUACUUGAAAAACACGGCACGUCAAAAUCAAAGAUGCACAUUUCACAAAGAUAUUACACACGUAGAAGAAACUUACUUUUCUGGAAGCUUCAUUGUAGGGUAAAGCUCGCGUAAUAUCUUUACUAUCUCAGAGAAGUGUGCAACUGACUCCACCAUUAAAUAUCUACCAUUAGCUGAAGGGUUUUCAAAUGCUAGAAUAUGCGCGAGGGCGACAUCUUUCACAUUAACCCAACCAAAUGUAUAAUUUGGGUAAGUUUCAGAACCUGCAGUAAAGCAAAAUGAAACUUUACUAAUGAAUUCCAAUAUAUUGUAAUAACAUGAACAGGACAAAAAUAAAACAACUAAGUUCAGAUGACGAGAUCAAAGACAAAUCAGCUGCAUUAAGAUAAAGCAUACCAUUUAGCAAUUGUACGAUGGCAGCAGCACUUGUAUUAAGUGUUGGUUGCAACAAACUGCCUAUAACCAUCCCUGGGUUUAUUGUAACCAUAUCGAAAGUUUUCUCUUUCACAAACUUCCACGCAGCAUCCUCAGCUAAUGUCUUUGAAAGCACAUACCAGAGCUGGUAAAAGCAACAAAAGAGGAGUCCAUAAUUAGCUCCAAAACCCCCAAAAAGAGCUAUCACCAGGAUCUCCCCCAAAAGAAGAUACGAGAAUAAAGAUACUUGACAGAAAAUAGUAGAACAAAGUUUAAAUAUGUGAAAUCUAAAACAGAAAUGAUUGAGCGCCAGUUAAGAUGAUUAUAAUGAGCAUUUCUGAUUUAAAUGUUUCGACAAGAAUUUGUACGAUGUAAACGGAACCACUUUACAUAACAAAUAAAUGGUUUAAUUGUUAAAGGAAAUGGAAUAUUCAGGUGAUACUAGAACUGAAUUCAACUGUGUUCAAAUUUCAAACCUGGCAGUUUGUGACAGUGGAGCUUUACCAUCACUUCCCUCCGCCAUAAAUACUUCUAUAUAAUAUUGGAGAAUUUGAACCAUUUUAGACAAAAGAAAAAAUACAAUCCUAAAUCAUGCCUGGUGAGUUUUGUAAUCAGAAACAUUCAGUUCUAAUCAGACUAAAAAGUUUGCGAAACGAAAAUAUCAAAUUGGCGUCAAACCCCCAACUUCUAUUAGAGAAGCAAUGCACUUCACCACUGGACUAGAAAGCCAAGUACUCUACCGCUGAGUUAGCAACCCGAAGAAAAUAUCGAAAAUAUUGUGUAGAUCCAAUCCAAAGAAAAAGAAAUAAAGAGAUUAGCACUAGUUGUCAAGUAGUUCUAUUUUAUAUUGCUCAGGGGAUUAUGCAAACAACAGUGCUGCAGACGGAAAACGAAAAGUCAAGUAAAGCACCUGUGAUUCUCUGCAAAAGUCAGGAUCUGACCACCAUGUCUCAUCAACCACCACUUCAGGGGUUCGUGGCUUGCCAUUGAAAACAACUGCUGCAACAGAUGAUGUCAAAACCACUCUUCUAACAGAUGGUGUCUUCGCAACUGAUUCAAGAACAUUAAGUGUCCCCUUCAGUGCAGGAUCAAUCAUCUCCGCCUGCAUGUUAACAAUAGGGCUAAUACAUUACAUCAACAUAUGGAAAAACCAAAAACUAGAACAGAUAAAUACGACCAACAGAUCCAAGAUGACUACCAUCAGUUUCGUAGGUAAGAUUUUCUUACAUUUAACUAAUAAAUUUCCAAAAGAAUAAGCUUGCAAAGGUAGACAUCAAAACCUAUGUUGCUCAGACUCUUCAAAAAUGUUGUCGCACCCAUGUCAGAUCCUCCAAAACACACUAGCUUUGAAGUAUCCAACAUGCACCAGGGGACAUUUUUAUAGAGUCUCAGCAACAUAGGUCAAAGCCAAAUUAAUCAAGAAAACCGAGUGAGGAACCUGUGGAUCUUUGACUUCAAGGUAACAAGGAGAUGCUGUAUGAAAUACACCUUCACACCCCUCAACAACAGCAUCAAAGGAACCUUCUUCCAGUAGGUUUGCUUUGAACAAGUGGAGUCUCUCCUUAGCUCCAUCAAGGGAUGUCAAGUGAUCUGUCUUUUUUUUAUCAUCUGCAAGUGGAUUUCAAAUAAAAAAAAAUAUAUUAUUACAUUAAUAGAACACAAUAUAAAAGCACUUAAACAGAGUCAAGCUAGCUUACAAACACUUUCGCUUUAUCUACACGUUUAGGGCAUAAUCAAACCAUCUUAGGCUAACUCAAUACUAAAAGAAUUAUUACAUCAGGUUGUAAGUCAAGCCUCUCUACUUCUACAAGGUACGAGUAAGGUCUGUGUACAACUGUACAUUCUACCCUCCCCAAACCCUACAUUGUGCAAUUACACCGAGUAUGGUGUUGUUGUUCUUACCAUCCAACAAUUAACAAAUACUAUUAUUAAACCAGUCAUUCUCAGAAAACUAUUUCAACAGUAAAAUAAAAAUAUUUAUAACAAACUCAGAAAGCAAAAAUUAAAUAUCAACAAUUUCAAUAUUCUCAAACUUGUAGUACUCUUCAAUUUUUUUAAAAAAAAAAAUUAUCCCUAGUUUAUCUAAAAGAACUAAAACUAUACAAAUUGAACACCAAAUCAUUCAAAUAUGUGUAUGCGAUGAAAAACAAAAAGAUCACAAAUGAUCAACUGCAGGUGGAUUCAAAUAAAUAAAAAAAUUAUUACAUCAAUAGAACACUAUUUAAAAGCAAUAAACAGGGUCAAACUAGUUUACAAUCACUUUCGCUUUAUCUACACGUUUAGGGCAUAAACAAGCCAUCUUAGUCUAACUCAACACUAAGUAAAUUACUACAUUACAUAGCUAUUUCUGGAAUAAACAGGGUCAAACUAGCUUACAAUCACUUUCGCUUUAUCUACACGUUUAGGGCAUAAACAAGCCAUCUUAGUCUAACUCAACACUAAGUAAAUUACUACAUUACAUAGCUAUUUCUGGAAUAGCCUCUCUACAUCUACGAGCUAAGAUCCGCCACACUCUACCCACUCCGACCCCACCUUGUCGUACUACACUUAGUAUGUACGUUGUUGUUGACUGUAAUUAACAUCCAAUUAUUAAACAAAUAUAAAAUUAUCAAACCAGUCAUUCUCAAAAAAAAACAUUAAAAAAUUAGCCCUAGCUUAUCUGAAAAAAACUAAAAUUACAGAAAUUGAACAACAAAUCAUUCAAAUGUUCAUAUGCGAUGAAAACACAAAAAUCACAAAUGAUCAGAUAACUUCAGAAAUUCAUUUUUCACAAUUCUGUUCAAGGGAAAAUGAACUCUUUUUUUUUUUUUACAGAGAAGGAUAAGAGUACAAACUGGGAUCGCGAACAGUGGCUUUGACUGUAUAACCACGCUGAAGCAAAAAUUUGACUAGCCAUGAAGCUAUGUAGCCUGAAGCUCCUGUUACACUUACACACACUGUUUUCGUCGCCAUUUUUGUGAGCUCUCUCUAUCUAUCUGAGCGGUGUGAAAGCCGACAAAAGUUAUAUUUAUAGGGAAGGAAAUAUUUUCCGUCCGUUUUAUGUUACUCCGACCGACACAUUGUGUACGUUCCACUACAUUAUAAAGUGGUGUAUUUGACUGAUACAUAGCGUAAAGUGAUGUAUAUUACAGGUACAUUGAGUAAGUAAUGUAAUCGAUCGAUACAUUGCGUAAAAUGAUGUAGCCGACUGAUACAUCACGUAAAGUAGAGAUUUUUUUAAAUGGUAUGGAAUUUUAAAGAACUAAUAAAAUAAAUUGUAUAUUUAAGUAAUUUUUCCAUCAAUAUACCUUUUAACUUGGUCUCAUUUCAUAUUUAAAUACUUUAACUUACACAAAUAAACACUUGAACUUAUAUAAAAUUAAAUAUAUACACAUAAAUUCUAUGUGGCAUAAUACACAUAAGACACCAUAUAGACUUCACAUUAUCAUAUAAGAUACCACAUAAAAUAUGUGUAUCUAUUUAUUUAAUUUUAUAUAAAUUUAAGUAUCAGCUAAAAGGAUUGACAAAAGGAACCUAAUGUCGAAUACUAGGUAUUUUGGUCUCUUACGUACUAUAGUUUAUUAAAUGGUAUACACUUCAAUUUUGCUUGGUAUGUAUAAUAAAUGAAAGGUAAAAUGAUCGGGAUGACUAUUAUAUUUGGCUCCGUUUGUCAGUUGGACCCUUGUAUUCAUGAUUUUGUCAAUUGAACUUAAAAUGCAAUACUUUAAAUCUCUUUCUUAUUCUAUGUGUGUAAGUGUAACACAACUGCUUACACAUGAAAUUUCACAUCAUUUUGUAGAAUUUCAUGUCAUUUUUAAUGCCACAUAAUAAAUUAAAUGUUAAAAAUAAAAAAUAAAUUUGCACAUUAAAAUUUUCAAUAUCAUGUUUCAUAUUUGCUCAUAAUUGAGCACUAAAUUCAUGUCAAAUUGGUCUAAUUCUUCCUAUUUUACAUGAAAUUUUUUACAGCUAAAGCUUCCCAACACAAACCCCAAUAAUUUUCCAUCAUAAUUUUGAAUUAAUUUCAUAAAUUCACAAAAUUCAUUUGUUAUUCUUCAAGCUUUUUCAUGAAAUUUAUCAACUUUCCAGUAUACACCAUUACUCUUCAAGAUUUCAAAAUUAUCUAAACUUCAAUAUUUCACAAACAAAAUUUGAAAACCCAAAUUUUAAAAGUGUGUAAAUCAAUCAAGAUUCAUAGAGAAGAAAUUUGAAUUUUAAAUUUAAAGAAACUAAUGGUUGAGAUAAGAGAUUUGGUUGGGUGGGGUGAGGGAUAGGGGGUGGGUGUUAAGAAGAAGAAGAAGAAGGGGGUUGGGUAGGGUGGGGUGGUGGGUGGUUUCAAGGAAGAAGGAGAGGGUGGGGGUAGGGGGCUGAAGGAAGAAUAAAGUUGCAGGCGAGGGGGAUUGGGGCUGAUUGGUUGAUUUUAAAUUAUUUUUUUAAUGAUUGUUAAUAUAAAAAAUAUAUAAUCAAUCACUUUAAGGCGCGUGCAAUCAAGUAUUUUUCCAAUUCAACAAUAUUAGUACCACAUAAGUUCGGUCAAUGGUCAGAUGUGUUUAAAAUAUUGCGUUUUAGUAAGUUUAAGGGUUCAAUUGGCAAAGUCGUGAGUAUAAGGGUUCAACUGACAAACAAAGUUAAUACAAGGAUCUCUCAAGUUAUUCCGCCUAAAUAAAAUAGAAAUAACUUUUCCUUGAAAAAAUGUCUUUACAAAGACAAAUUUAGCUCUAAAAAGUUUGAUAAAAAAAAUAAGGGAAAACUAACUAACUAGUCAAUAUUCCUAACAUAAUUAUUAAAAAUAUCUAUAGUUUGAAAUAAUUGUUAAAAUUGUCAAAAUGUCAAUAUUUUAACAAAUAAAGUGUAUCCUAAUAUAAUUCAUUUAUCUUCCUUUUAUUUCUCAACUUGGGCCCACCUGUGACUAAAUUUAACUUCAUUAUUUUUGAAAAAGAAAAAAAAAAGACUUUAUUGUCCACUUUUCUCUCUCAAAUUUUUACCCACAUUCUCUCCUUUCUCCCUCUUUCUCACGAUUUUUAUCCAUACUCCCUCACCUCAAUUCCUCUAUUUUUCUAAGAAAUUUCAAUAAUUUUCAAAAGAUUUUUAACCUUUGAUACAGAUAAAUACAUUGUCAUGAAGUGUUUUUUUUUAAUUAUAUUCUAUUUUUCUAUGUUUUCGUCUGAAACUAUUUAGGUUAUUGUGUGUUCUUGUGUUUUUCAAUUUCCCCGUUUUCAGUUAGGAAUUAGAUAAGGGAAAAACACAAAUAUUGCAAUCCAAUGUUUGAUUCAAAGAGGACUAUCAGAGGUAUCAUAUAUAAUCAUCAACUUUUUGGGGAUUUUUCCUCCAAAAAUGUAGGCUCUACGGUUAAAAUGGCUCAAGAGAGGAGAUCUAAAUUUCUUCAUGAUUCUAUCCGCGUUCAAGUUCAAGAUAGCAAUGUCAGGUUCAAGAUAGAAAUGUCAGGGUAAAGACACUAUUAAUAAAAAUAAAAUAAAAUUUGGGUGCAGAAGAUUUCGAAAAACAUGAUGAAGACCAAGGUGAAGAACAAUUUCCUAUUAGUUUGUUUUAUAUUUUUAAUUUUUUUUAGAAUUUUGUAUUAUUUCUUAAUUUGUAUUCAAACCAUUAUGUAUGCUAUUAAUAUUUGUAUUCAUUCAAAAUCUCAUGUUGCAUAGUCCAUGAAUCUUGUAUUUGUUUCUAAUUUGUAUUCAUCCUAAAGGUAUGCUAACUAGUUAUGUAUUUUAUUUAUAGGAAGAACAACUUUCUAUUAGUUUGUUUUGUUUUUUUUUUUUUUUCUUCAGAAUUUUGUAUCAUUUCUCGAUUUGUAUUCAAACCAGUAUGUAUGCUAUUAAUAUUUGUAUUUAUUCAAAAUCUCACGCUGCAUAGUUUUUGAAUCUUGUAUUUGUUCCUAAUUUAUAUUCAUUCCUAAGGUAUACCAACUAGUUAUGUAUUUUAUUUAAGAAUGAUUACAACAAUUAUUCAUUUAUUCCUUUUCAGUUUUAUUUUCACUUUUCCAUCAUAUUAUUUUUGUAUUUUAUAUAUCAUUUAUACAAAAUACAAUAUAAAAACUAGAAUGAAUACAAAUACAAAUAAUAUACAUAUUGGAAUGAAUACAACUUAGGAAAGGAAACAGGAUUCUAAAGAGAAAAAUAAAUACACAGUGAAAAAAAUACAUGAAUACAAAUAUAUUUCUUAAAUAACUUCAGAUUCAUUUGACAUACCUAUUGGAAUGAAUACGAACUAAUAAAGAAAUACAAGUUUCAUUAUACAAAAUACAUCAUGAAAACUAGAAUGAAUACAAAUACAAAUGGUAUGCAUAUUGGAAUGAAUACGAUUUAAUAAAGGAUACAAAAUUUUGAUAAAUAAAAUAAAUACAUUGUGAGAAAAGCAUGCCAAAUAACAGAUAAAACUAUAGGUGUUCAAAUUUGUAAAUUUUAAAAAAUCAAAUUUAAUAGAUAAAACUCUAAGGUACUAUUAUAAAGUUUCAUAACAAUAACUAGUUUUGAAAGACAAGGCCAAAUAAUGGCCUUUAGGAAGAAGGAAGAGACCACCUAUUUUAGGUCCCAUAAUCUUUUGUAGUGGAAGUAACGAAGAUUUUCAGCAAGUUAACCUAAUUUGAAAUAUUCCAUCCCUUGAUUUUCUCUAGUUUGUUAUUUCUUAAUUAUAUUAUGUUAAGUUAAAUAAAGAAAAAAAAAUACAUAAAUCAAUCCAUAACAAACUAAAAUAUUGACAUUUUUAAUAAAUACUGAAAGUGUGGCUAAGGAGUCCUAUUAAAUGUUAAAAUAUUGUUAUUUUAAAAAAAUUCUCAAAAAAUAAUGCUUCAAAAAAGUUAGGUAGUGGCUUUUAUAGUUGGGGAUAUAAAGGAGUGAUUAUUUUAUCUUAUGUAGUUAUCAUAUUGGACUUUUUUUACAGUUUAAAAUAAGUAAUUAAAUAGUAAGAUGUUUAAGAGAGUUGUUAAAAUUUCUUCUAUUUUAUCUUUUAUUUAUAAUUUUUUAGGUUAUAAUUUCGAAAGAGCUAAUUGUUCAUAUUGAUAAUUUUACUUUAAAUUAUUUUAUAUUUUCAAGAAUAGUUUGAGGAUAACUAAAAGGGCAAAAGUGGAAAGUGAUGUUCAAUUUAUGUCCUAAACUUAUUUUUUCCCUUAAUGAUAUGCAUUAAUUCCCUGAACAAUUCACUUAUUUUGAAAUGGAUGAAGUAAUAAAGAACAAUAACAAAGAUUUUUUUUUUUGGAUAAUAAAGGAUUUAUUCAUUAAAAAUAGUUAAGAUGUUGUAAACAUAUUUAUAUUAAGGUGAAUAUCAGAGAUUUCUCUGGAGAAAACUAAGGAAUUCUAGUUGAAGAUCAAGUUAGUUUUUCCCUAUAAAUAAAGGAUUUUUCUGCAUUAUAAUUCAUAUCUAAAUAUAUCUCAAACGUGUAUAUCACUCCUGAGGAAUAAGAAGUCUUAUGUUUUCUUUUACUUUAUUAUUCUUAUUCUCAUUGAUUUAUAUAUUUGGUCCUUACUAGAAUUAAUAACACAAUGAGGACCAAAUUCAUUUUUGAAAAUGUAAAUUUAUUUUCUAACAUUAUUGAUAUGUCUGAAUGAACUAAAAAGCUAUUUGUAACAUUUUGAAAGGUGGAACAAUGAAAGCAUUCAUAACUGAUGGGCUUUUAUAUAAUUCUUGUCCGUUAAUAAACAUUAUUCCUAUAUAUAUAAUUUUACUGGAUAAAAAACUAAACAUGCAUCGAAAUUAAGGGUGACAAAAUAAGCAAUUUAUAUGAGUAUCUAUUUAAAUUAUUCAUUUUAAAGAAUUAGAUACUCAACUCAUUUAAAAUAGAUAAAAGGUAAGUCAGACUCAUAUUAUUCAUUUAAAAGUGGAUAAUUAAAUGAAUAAAAUAGCUAAAGAAAAGUGCAUUCAUCCAAAAAAAAAAAAGGGUGAUAUUAAUAUUUUUUUGAGGUGUAGUAAUCGGGGUAGAGAGGGUGGGAUAAGGAAAAAAUCUAAUUUUUCUCUGAAAAUAAUUUGUUUUUAAUUAGGGGUUGGAGAGUGGGGGCUGGUAGUGGGGGAGGGAGGUAGUGAUGGGGCCGAGUGGAGUUGGGGGCUCAGGGUAGUAAAAAAUAAAUUAUUUUUUGAGGCAUUGGAGUUAGGGGUGAGGGUAGAGCCGUUAAUAUGGACUACGGACGUUGGGCCGGUCUGUCCUAACUCGCGAUUUAAUAGGGCUGGGCUAAGAUUUUGUGGGGCUUAUAAUAUGAGUAGGACCAGCCCGUGGACCAAAUAAAAAUCAAUUAAGAAAUAAAAUUAAAAUAGAGUAUUAAAAAUAACAAGACUCCAAACUCAAAAAUUAUAUAAAAUUUUAAAUAUUAAAAUUUAAAUACAAAUUAUGUUUAUAAAAUAUGUAGUUAUGCAAUACUUAAAAUAAAAAUCCCUAAAAUUUCUAGGGAAUCUCCAUGUAGACCGUAACUUAUUUACCGGUAGUCAUCUUCUCUUGGUAUUUUCCAUUUUCUUAUAAACUACUGAUGAAAAUGGAGAUGUUAAGACAACCUACCACAAGUUGAUUCAAAUGUGCUUAAUGAAGAUGAUGUUUUGGCAUUAGAUACACCAUAAGUUUUAUGAAAUUUUUCUAAGAAGUUCAUUUAUCACUUUUUUAUGGAUGAAAUAAUGUCAUUUUUUUUGUGUUUUAUUUUGAUCAUUAAAAAAAAAAUUAAGUUAAUAUUUCUAUUUAGUUAUUUUUACUUUUACUUGAAAUCAAACUUAAUAAAUAUUCUAAAGAUAAUUUUAUUUGUGAAUUUGAUUAACAAGUAAUAACACUAUCACGUGUAAUGAUUUAAAAAAAAAUAGUAACACUAACACAUGUAAUAUUGUUUUGUCGAUAACUAUGAUAAUAUUUUUUAAUUAUAAUUUGAUUUAAAAAAUAUAAAAAUAUACUAUUUUAAAAAGUGGAUUGGCUCGGCACAACAUGUAGCCCACGUACUUGUGGGUUAGGUUGACCAUUUUCUAGCCCACAAGAAAAAUAAGUCAGCUCAGCAUGACCCGUCAAAUUUCAAAACAUGUAUGGCUUAGUCCGGAUAGGGCAAGUCAGUCCAUAUUAACAGCUCUAGGUGGAGGGUGGACAUGCAGGGGGGUUGGGUGCCGGGAGAGGGGUGGGGGUGAUAUAAAAAUAAUUUUUAAAAGUUCUACAUUUUUUUUUGUGUGUGAGGAAUGAAGAGUGAGGUAAGAGAUUUUGCUUUUGAAGCUUUUAACGUGAUCCUUAUUAUAACAUGAAUAUCUAUAUUUACUCAUAUUAUUCAUUUGUAACUCAUUUUAAUUCAUUUAAAAUAUGAGUCGAGUCGAGAUUUUAUCCAUUUUUAUUUAACUCAUUUUUGAUCGAUUUAUAUUUGAUUCGUUGUCACUCCUAAUUAAAAUAAAUAAUUAAAAAAAUAGAACAAUAAUGUUUUAUUAUACUUUUUACGAUAUAGUCAUUUAAAAAAAUCAAUUCAAACAUACAAUUCUCAUCCUUACCGUCAAAUAAUUAAUAAAUACUACAAUAUUAUUAAACCAGUCUAAAUGUUUCAACAGUUAAAAAAAUUUUGAGUUUUGUAAUUCGAUAAUCAUAUAUAUAUAAAAGAAAACCUUAGGCCUGCCUACGUGGCGCCAUCCAAACCAGAAUUCUCUUUUAAUUUUAUUUAUUUACAAAACUAGUCUUCUCCUUUCAUGAAAAGUUGCGAAAUUUAUGAAGAGUUGCGACUUUAAUGAAGAGUUGCGAUUUUUAUGAAGAGUUUUGACUUUUAUGAAAAAUUGUGAAUUUUAUGAAAGGUUGUGACCUUUUUCGAAGGGUUGCAACUUAUCCAAAUAGUUGUAAUAUUUCCGAUAAGGCACAAUAAACAUUUGUUCUCACUACCCUUUGUUGUCUAUAAAUAGAGGGAUUUCCUCUCAUUUUAAAACUACAAAAAUUCUGAACCUCUUCUUCUUCUUCUUUACAACUAAAUAUUUGUGUACUUUGCUCCUGUUGAGAGGCUCACUGACACUAUUGCUUAUGUUGCAGUUCCUGGUAUGUACUUUUACAGUCAUUAAUUUAUGCUUAUGUUAUUAAGGAUAAAUGAUAAGAUGUAAUAAUUUUCAUUUUCCUUUACAUUAUUGAUGUUUGUUACAACAUAAUCUUGUAUGUAAGAUAAUAUAGUGUUUUUUUGAAGCAUUAUUUUAUAAAUUUCAUGAUAUUAAAUUUCAGCGCGAAGCGCGGAUAAUUUUACUAGUCAGUAGUUAAAAGUGGAUAUCAAAUGUAAAAUUUUUAAAUUUUAGUUUGGUAAUUUGAUAAUCGGUAAAUUAAAUUUUGACUUUGUAUGGUUUUUAGUAAUAUCAUAUUAAAAUUGUAGCCGAUUGUAUUACAAAGUUAAUACUAUUUCUUUAACUAUUUCUAUUUUUUUUAUGCGGAGGAACAUAUAUUAGAAAAUCCACAAGUAAGAAGACAUCAAGAAAAACAAAUUGAUAUUUAUUAACUAAAUAAUUCGGUAUUCGAAAAAUACCGAAUACACAAUGUCACUAAUGUAUCAUACCAAAUCCAAACCCGAACACCAUAAUUUUAAAAUUUUGCUCCCUAAUACCAUACCGAAUUAUUGAAUAUAAAAUUACCAAAAAAAAAAUAGUUCGGUUUGAAAAUUCGAAUUUCAGUAUUUUACACCCAGCACUACCAAUCAAUAGGCUUGAUACACCUUUUAAGUUUGUCAUUUAGUAAAGUGGUGCAUUUAGGGAUGGGGGAUAAAUCGUCAACCUGAAUAAAAAAAAUCUUUCUUUCUUAAAAUUUAUGUACAAUCGAGGAAAAAAAUAGUAUUUUACUAGGUCAACAAAUUAAAGAUCUAUAUUUGGAUUUCCACUAAAUAUGUUCUCCAAUCCUUUGAUGAGUCUAUAUCAUAGGGAUAGAUAUGCUUUAGCUUCAUAAAAUGAUUCCAAUUAGACAUUAGGUAGAAAAGAUAAUUCUCUUCAAAUCAAGAAUUAAUAAUCCAUGAAAAUGGUCACUUUCUGACUCACAACUAGGGGUGUGUAUCGGUCGGUUCGGUUAUAAGUAUUAUCGGUUCGAUUUAUCGGUUUUCGGUUUUUAAAUAUGCUAAACCGAUAACCAAACUAAUAAGAUAUUUGUUAUCGGUUUUCAGUUUAUCGGUUUUAGGUCUUUAACGGUUCGGUUUUCGGUUUAACCAAUAAGAAAUGCUUUCAAAACAAAUAUAUGACUUAUCCAAUAAUUUGAUGCGAUAUGCAUACAUCGAAAUAAUCAUUCCAAACAGGACAACAAGGACCAACUUGUUGUAUUUUGGUCAUCACAACAAAGACUUGGUUAAUUUUCGAUCACCAUAAUAUAUAAAANNNNNNNNNNNNNNNNNNNNNNNNNNNNNNNNNNNNNNNNNNNNNNNNNNNNNNNNNNNNNNNNNNNNNNNNNNNNNNNNNNNNNNNNNNNNNNNNNNNNNNNNNNNNNNNNNNNNNNNNNNNNNNNNNNNNNNNNNNNNNNNNNNNNNNNNNNNNNNNNNNNNNNNNNNNNNNNNNNNNNNNNNNNNNNNNNNNNNNNNNNNNNNNNNNNNNNNNNNNNNNNNNNNNNNNNNNNNNNNNNNNNNNNNNNNNNNNNNNNNNNNNNNNNNNNNNNNNNNNNNNNNNNNNNNNNNNNNNNNNNNNNNNNNNNNNNNNNNNNNNNNNNNNNNNNNNNNNNNNNNNNNNNNNNNNNNNNNNNNNNNNNNNNNNNNNNNNNNNNNNNNNNNNNNNNNNNNNNNNNGACUUAAAUACUCCAUAUUAUCUAUUACAAUAAUUAACAAUUAUUUCACACUUUAAAUUCUAUCAAUGCCAUAUAAAUUAGGAUAAAAAAGGUAACAUAUAUAUUCAAAAAUAAUAUAAGUAAUACUAUACUUAGUAUGCUUUAAAAUAGUAAAAACUACAUAAAAAGUACUACAUACUAUAUUACAAUAAUUAACAAUUAUUUGACACUUUCAAUUCUAUCAAUGCCAUAUAAAUUAGGAUAAAAAAGGUAACAUAUAUAUUCAAAAAUAAUAUAAGUAAUACUAUACUUAGUAUGCUUUAAAAUAGUAAAAACUACAUAAAAAGUACUACAUACUAUAUUACAAUAAUUAACAAUUAUUUGACACUUUCAAUUCUAUCAAUGCCAUAUAAAUUAGGAUAAAAAAGGUAACAUAUAUAUUCAAAAAUAAUAUAAGUAAUACUAUACUUAGUAUGCUUUAAAAUAGUAAAAACUACAUAAAAAGUACUACAUACUAUAUUACAAUAAUUAACAAUUAUUUGACACUUUCAAUUCUAUCAAUGCCAUAUAAAUUAGGAUUAAAAAGGUAACAUAUAUAUUCAAAAAUAAUAUAAGUAAUACUAUACUUAGUAUGCUUUAAAAUAGUAAAAACUACAUAAAAAGUACUACAUACUAUAUUACAAUAAUUAACAAUUAUUUGACACUUUCAAUUCUAUCAAUGCCAUAUAAAUUAGGAUAAAAAAGGUAACAUAUAUAUUCAAAAAUAAUAUAAGUAAUACUAUACUUAGUAUGCUUUAAAAUAGUAAAAACUACAUAAAAAGUACUACAUACUAUAUUACAAUAAUUAACAAUUAUUUGACACUUUCAAUUCUAUCAAUGCCAUAUAAAUUAGGAUUAAAAAGGUAACAUAUAUAUUCAAAAAUAAUAUAAGUAAUACUAUACUUAGUAUGCUUUAAAAUAGUAAAAACUACAUAAAAAGUACUACAUACUAUAUUACAAUAAUUAACAAUUAUUUGACACUUUCAAUUCUAUCAAUGCCAUAUAAAUUAGGAUUAAAAAGGUAACAUAUAUAUUCAAAAAUAAUAUAAGUAAUACUAUACUUAGUAUGCUUUAAAAUAGUAAAAACUACAUAAAAAGUACUACAUACUAUAUUACAAUAAUUAACAAUUAUUUGACACUUUCAAUUCUAUCAAUGCCAUAUAAAUUAGGAUUAAAAAGGUAACAUAUAUAUUCAAAAAUAAUAUAAGUAAUACUAUACAUUACAAUAAUUAAUAGCUUAAAUAUUUAAAAGUUAUAUAAAAAAUAUAAUUGACUCUCUAAAUUCUAUUGGUACCACAUAAAAUGGAUUAUAUGAUAAACGUAUAUUGUUUGAAAUUGACGAAAAAGAAACUAUAAAUUACAAUAAUUAACAAAAAAAUUCGCUCGACUCCAACAAAUCUAUCAAUUAAUGCCACAUAAAUUGGGACAUGGGAAUCACAUAUAUUCUUUAAAAAUUAAGUUCAAAAUGUACUAUAAAAUACAAUAAUUAACAACUUAAUAUAGUAAAGAGACAUAUAAAAAAUAGUUAAUAUUUGAAAUUUUGCAUGUGCCACAUAAAUUAGAACAAAGAGAGUAAUAAAUAUUAUUUUCAAAAUUCUGUAAAAAAAGGUACUACAAAUCACAAUAGCUAACAAUUUAAAAUAUUUUUACAAUCAUAUAAAAAUUUCAAUAACUUCUCAAAUUUCAUAAUAUAUGACAUAAGAAGAGGGAAUAACCAAUAUAUUUAUAAAAAUAAAUGACAUAUAAAAUGAAAUGGAGAGAGUAUUAGUUUUUGAAAAUGGAAAAGGACAAAACACAUAUAAAAUUAAAACACAUAUAAAAAAAAGUUAGUUUAACUCUCAAACAUAAAAAGUAACAUAUGUUAUUAAAAACUUUAAUAAAAAGUACUAUAAUUUACAAUAAAUAAUAACUUAAAAUAUCUACAAGACAACAAAAAAAAGACUAAUUUUUGUACUGCUUGUGUCACAUAUAUUAGGAUUGGGAUGAUUUUAAAAUUUUAAUUUUGGUUAUACAUUAUAAAAUAGCCGAAAAAUUGAAUGAUAUAAUUUUUUUAAAAAUAAUCGAAUGAAUCGUCCUAUCGAUAACCCUAAUGUUACUUCUACUCUGUUUAUUUUUACUUAAAUUUAGAAAGAUAUGCUUCAUUUCUACCCUCAAUCUUAUUGCUACAUUUAUUUGCUAUUUAAAAUUGAAAUUAAAAAGACAAAUGACAAAUAAGUUUCUAUAUUAGCUCACUUAUGAGCAAAAUAUAUUAUAACAAUCUUUACUAUUUUUAUAACAAUACAUAAACUAUACUCCCUCCGUCCCAUAUUAGAUGGGCACUUCCAACUUUACACGGUGAUUAAGAAAUCAUUAAUACAUUGGAAGACUUCACCAUUUUGCCCUUUCUUUAUAUCAAUGCACAUUGAAAUGAGUUACAAAAAAUACACAUACAAUAUAGGAAUGGUCAUAUUAAUUGUAGGGGUAAAAUGGAAAAGAAUUAAUUAAUUCUAUCCUAAUUUAAUAAGUGCUCAAAUAAUAUGAAAAAAAAAAAUUUAGUAAGAUUCUCAUCUAAUAUGGGACGGAGAGAAUAACAAUAUAACUUUGUUAAUGUUGGGCCCGGGCAGCGCCCGGGCUUUCGUUACUAGUAUAUAUAUAUAUGUAUAUAUGUAUAUAUAUGUAUGUAUGUAUGUAUGAAAAGUUCACAUAUAUCUCUAUAUUUACAAAAGUGAUAAAAUUAAUUUUAAAUUAUUUAUUUUGAUUUUUAGUUUUUUUAAAUAAUAUAUAUAAACUUUUUCGAACAUAAAUUAUUUUUAAAUUCUUUUAUUAUUAUUUGAAUUUCUUAUUCUUAUUUAUUACUCCCUCCGUCCCAUUUUAUGUGGCAAUUUUUGGAUUUCGAGAUUCAAACAAGUUUAUCUUUGACCGUAAAUUUUUCAUAAAUCUUUUAAACAUUUUGAAUUAUCAAUUAUUGUGACUUAUAGUACUUUUUACAUAGUUUACAAAUAUAUAAAUUUUGUUUCAAAAAAAUUGAAGAUUCCAUGUGCAAAUUCCCGGUCAAACUUAAACUGUUUGACUCUCAAAAAACGAAAAGUGUCACAUAAAUUGGGACAGAGGGAGUAUUAUUUUGAGUAAAAAUGUUCUUAAGCAAUGUAAAAUGAGUAAGUGUGUUGGUUAAAUAAUACUCCCUCAUUUUCAAAAAAAGUGGUCUAGUUUGACUUGACACGAAAUUUAAGAAAAUAAAAAAGACUUUUGAAUCUUGAGUCCUAAAUUAAAGUUAUGUUAAAUGUACAAAAUUGCACUUUAAUCUUGUGGCCUUAAACAUGCCAUGUGGAAAGCUGAAAUUAAAAUGUUAUUAAUAAAGAAAAGAGGUCAUUCUUUUUUAAACAAACUAAAAAAGAAAGUGGGUCAUUUUAUUUUUUUGAAAUAGAGGGAGUAUAUAUGAUAAGACUAGACUAACGUUUGGCCAUAGAUUUCCAAAUAUUCUUGACAAAUAUUAUUUGGGUGAAAUUUCACCAUGUGUUUGGCCAUAGUAUUUGGGAAAUAUAUUUCACUUUUUUAGAAAAAUAUGAUUUAUACCCAUAAGGUUUAAAAACUAUCAAAACUAACCAUAAAUUUGUAUUACAAGUCAAUUGGAUCUUCGUUGCAACAAAUAACAAGUAGUGUCCAUGACACUAGAGCAAUGUGGUCGUUUGGAGUGAGUGCAACAAGAUCAUUUCAUACAUCGUGUAGUAGACAAAGCACAUGAUUUUGUUACCCUGAGCCGAUUGUUUAUCAUUUUCAUCAACAACCAUAUCAUCACUUUCAUAUUCACUGAAUAUUUCAUCACUACUUUGGUGUUCACGUAAAAAAUUAUGUAAUACAACGCAAACAACUACUAUAGAGGGUGUUUUUGUAAAAAAUAAAAGUUUGGUGUAAAUUUCAAUUUUCAAAAGAUCCCAAAUAAUGAGAGUUGACCCAAAUACUAAAAAAAACUAGUAUUUGGGAAUUUGAGAUAUUUACCAAAUAAUGACAAAAUAUAUGGACAAACACUAUUUACCAAAUUUUUCCCCAAAUAAUAUUUGGGAAAUCUAUGGCCAAACAGGCCCCUGAGUACCACACUAUAGUUUGUUGAACUUUCAUUUUUUUCUUUUUUAUCUUAUAGCUCGGCGGUAGGUAUUAGAUAAUUUAUUCAUUAAAACAAGGACAGAUAGAAAAAGUCCACCUAGUUUUUUUUUUUUUUUUUUUAUCUCAUGUGACUUAAAUCUAAAAUUAUAUACUAAUUCUUAACUCAUUUCAUUAAAUUCUUAAAAUUUUCAACUUCUUUUGGUUAGCUUAUCGCUUUAUUAGUUUGUGCUAGUUCCACAAUUAUAGAAAUAAAUGCAUCAUUUGUAAUUCAUCCAUUUCAUUUUACUUUAACUCCUAUACUGAAAAUAGAUAGAUAUCUCAUUCCGUACUUUGCAGCUCAACUAAUCUAAAUUUAUGCAAAAAUAUUUUCCUCUGCUAAAUAAUGUGUAAAAGCAUGGAAUACACUAUUAAAAACUAGUUUAGAUAUUUAUGCACCGUCAACACUUAAUAUUUAUUCCAAUUUAUUAAAAGAGCUCAGAGAGAAGGUGAGGAGGUCACUGGUCAGCAUAUUUUCUGCAUGCUCACUGAAGUGAAAUAUGAUACCUAGUUGAGAUAGCAGACACCUCGUGAAAUAAUUGAAACGCGCCCAUGUCGACCUGUACACCAUCAGUAUUAAAAAGAGAAGAAAAACAUACAGAACCAUCCUGGUACAGAUCUUGCACAAAACAUAAACAACAAGCCAAAUGCACAUUUGAUAGUAGGUUGCUAACUAUUAUAACAAACACUUGUAACCUCCAAACACGAAAGAUAACAUCGAUCAAAGGGUGUUUUUAACAGAACCAAAGAUACGAUUCUACUACAUCCACGAAACGUGACGACACCAUUAAAGUUGCGGAUCACAAAACGACAUAAUACGAAAGGUUUUAGUAUAACAUGAAAGUACAUAAGCAUGUUCUCUAGAAUUUGCAGAUUCAUUCACAAUAAGGCUGUGCAUUUCAGUAAAACUUCUUCUCUUUCAAGCUUUCAGCAGUUUCCUUGAGGCUUUCAGCCAAGGGAAUGAAUUCAAUACCCAAUUUUUUGGCUCUUUCAAUGUUAACCUGGUACAUUGGCGUAAAUGGCUUAUCAUCAGCACACCUGGAGAGUUUAACCGAAAACUUUGAGCCAAGAAAACAAUUUCUAGUAAACCAUAUGAAAUC